rnacentral:tRNA from 1 species
GGGGUUUUAGCUCAGUGGGUAGAGCGCUUGCCUAGCAAGCGCAAGGCCCUGGGUUCGAUCCCCAGCUCCG